AGAGUUUGAUCCUGGCUCAGGAUGAACGCUGGCGGCGUGCUUAACACAUGCAAGUCGAACGAAGCACUUUAUUUGAUUUCCUUCGGGACUGAUUAUUUUGUGACUGAGUGGCGGACGGGUGAGUAACGCGUGGGUAACCUGCCUUGUACAGGGGGAUAACGGUUGGAAACGGCUGCUAAUACCGCAUAAGCGCACAGCAUCGCAUGAUGCAGUGUGAAAAACUCCGGUGGUAUAAGAUGGACCCGCGUUGGAUUAGCUAGUUGGUGAGGUAACGGCCCACCAAGGCGACGAUCCAUAGCCGACCUGAGAGGGUGACCGGCCACAUUGGGACUGAGACACGGCCCAAACUCCUACGGGAGGCAGCAGUGGGGAAUAUUGCACAAUGGGCGAAAGCCUGAUGCAGCGACGCCGCGUGAGCGAAGAAGUAUUUCGGUAUGUAAAGCUCUAUCAGCAGGGAAGAUAAUGACGGUACCUGACUAAGAAGCACCGGCUAAAUACGUGCCAGCAGCCGCGGUAAUACGUAUGGUGCAAGCGUUAUCCGGAUUUACUGGGUGUAAAGGGAGCGCAGGCGGUGCGGCAAGUCUGAUGUGAAAGCCCGGGGCUCAACCCCGGUACUGCAUUGGAAACUGUCGUACUAGAGUGUCGGAGGGGUAAGCGGAAUUCCUAGUGUAGCGGUGAAAUGCGUAGAUAUUAGGAGGAACACCAGUGGCGAAGGCGGCUUACUGGACGAUAACUGACGCUGAGGCUCGAAAGCGUGGGGAGCAAACAGGAUUAGAUACCCUGGUAGUCCACGCCGUAAACGAUG
rnacentral:rRNA from 1 species